rnacentral:rRNA from 1 species
UUAAGUUAGAAAGGGCGCACGGUGGAUGCCUUGACACUAGGAGUCGAUGAAGGACGGGACUAACGCCGAUAUGCUUCGGGGAGCUGUAAGUAAGCUUUGAUCCGAAGAUUUCCGAAUGGGGAAACCCACCAUACGUAAUGGUAUGGUAUCCUUAUCUGAAUACAUAGGGUAAGGAAGACAGACCCAGGGAACUGAAACAUCUAAGUACCUGGAGGAAGAGAAAGCAAAUGCGAUUUCCUGAGUAGCGGCGAGCGAAACGGAACAUAGCCCAAACCAAGAGGCUUGCCUCUUGGGGUUGUAGGACAUUCUAUACGGAGUUACAAAGGAACGAGGUAGACGAAGCGACCUGGAAAGGUCCGUCGUAGAGGGUAACAACCCCGUAGUCGAAACUUCGUUCUCUCUUGAAUGUAUCCUGAGUACGGCGGAACACGUGAAAUUCCGUCGGAAUCUGGGAGGACCAUCUCCCAAGGCUAAAUACUCCCUAGUGAUCGAUAGUGAACCAGUACCGUGAGGGAAAGGUGAAAAGCACCCCGGAAGGGGAGUGAAAGAGAUCCUGAAACCGUGUGCCUACAAAUAGUCAGAGCCCGUUAACGGGUGAUGGCGUGCCUUUUGUAGAAUGAACCGGCGAGUUACGAUCCCGUGCGAGGUUAAGCUGAAGAGGCGGAGCCGCAGCGAAAGCGAGUCUGAAUAGGGCGUUUAGUACGUGGUCGUAGACCCGAAACCAGGUGAUCUACCCAUGUCCAGGGUGAAGUUCAGGUAACACUGAAUGGAGGCCCGAACCCACGCACGUUGAAAAGUGCGGGGAUGAGGUGUGGGUAGCGGAGAAAUUCCAAUCGAACCUGGAGAUAGCUGGUUCUCCCCGAAAUAGCUUUAGGGCUAGCCUUAAGUGUAAGAGUCUUGGAGGUAGAGCACUGAUUGGACUAGGGGUCCUCAUCGGAUUACCGAAUUCAGUCAAACUCCGAAUGCCAAUGACUUAUCCUUAGGAGUCAGACUGCGAGUGAUAAGAUCCGUAGUCAAAAGGGAAACAGCCCAGACCGCCAGCUAAGGUCCCAAAGUGUGUAUUAAGUGGAAAAGGAUGUGGAGUUGCUUAGACAACUAGGAUGUUGGCUUAGAAGCAGCCACCAUUUAAAGAGUGCGUAAUAGCUCACUAGUCGAGUGACUCUGCGCCGAAAAUGUACCGGGGCUAAAUACACCACCGAAGCUGCGGAUUGAUACCAAUGGUAUCAGUGGUAGGGGAGCGUUCUAAGGACAGUGAAGUCAGACCGGAAGGACUGGUGGAGUGCUUAGAAGUGAGAAUGCCGGUAUGAGUAGCGAAAGACGGGUGAGAAUCCCGUCCACCGAAUGCCUAAGGUUUCCUGAGGAAGGCUCGUCCGCUCAGGGUUAGUCAGGACCUAAGCCGAGGCCGACAGGCGUAGGCGAUGGACAACAGGUUGAUAUUCCUGUACCACCUCUUUAUCGUUUGAGCAAUGGAGGGACGCAGAAGGAUAGAAGAAGCGUGCGAUUGGUUGUGCACGUCCAAGCAGUUAGGCUGAUAAGUAGGCAAAUCCGCUUAUCAUAAAGGCUGAGCUGUGAUGGGGAAGCUCCUUAUGGAGCGAAGUCUUUGAUUCCCCGCUGCCAAGAAAAGCUUCUAGCGAGAUAAAAGGUGCCUGUACCGCAAACCGACACAGGUAGGCGAGGAGAGAAUCCUAAGGUGUGCGAGAGAACUCUGGUUAAGGAACUCGGCAAAAUGACCCCGUAACUUCGGGAGAAGGGGUGCUUUCUUAACGGAAAGCCGCAGUGAAUAGGCCCAAGCGACUGUUUAGCAAAAACACAGCUCUCUGCGAAGCCGUAAGGCGAAGUAUAGGGGGUGACACCUGCCCGGUGCUGGAAGGUUAAGGAGAGGGGUUAGCGUAAGCGAAGCUCUGAACUGAAGCCCCAGUAAACGGCGGCCGUAACUAUAACGGUCCUAAGGUAGCGAAAUUCCUUGUCGGGUAAGUUCCGACCCGCACGAAAGGUGUAACGAUUUGGGCACUGUCUCAACCAGAGACUCGGUGAAAUUAUAGUACCUGUGAAGAUGCAGGUUACCCGCGACAGGACGGAAAGACCCCGUGGAGCUUUACUGUAGCCUGAUAUUGAAUUUUGGUACAGUUUGUACAGGAUAGGCGGGAGCCUUUGAAACCGGAGCGCUAGCUUCGGUGGAGGCGCUGGUGGGAUACCGCCCUGACUGUAUUGAAAUUCUAACCUACGGGUCUUAUCGACCCGGGAGACAGUGUCAGGUGGGCAGUUUGACUGGGGCGGUCGCCUCCUAAAGUGUAACGGAGGCGCCCAAAGGUUCCCUCAGAAUGGUUGGAAAUCAUUCGUAGAGUGCAAAGGCAUAAGGGAGCUUGACUGCGAGACCUACAAGUCGAGCAGGGACGAAAGUCGGGCUUAGUGAUCCGGUGGUUCCGCAUGGAAGGGCCAUCGCUCAACGGAUAAAAGCUACCCCGGGGAUAACAGGCUUAUCUCCCCCAAGAGUCCACAUCGACGGGGAGGUUUGGCACCUCGAUGUCGGCUCAUCGCAUCCUGGGGCUGUAGUCGGUCCCAAGGGUUGGGCUGUUCGCCCAUUAAAGCGGUACGCGAGCUGGGUUCAGAACGUCGUGAGACAGUUCGGUCCCUAUCCGUCGUGGGCGUAGGAAAUUUGAGAGGAGCUGUCCUUAGUACGAGAGGACCGGGAUGGACGCACCGCUGGUGUACCAGUUGUUCUGCCAAGGGCAUAGCUGGGUAGCUAUGUGCGGAAGGGAUAAGUGCUGAAAGCAUCUAAGCAUGAAGCCCCCCUCAAGAUGAGAUUUCCCAUAGCGUAAGCUAGUAAGAUCCCUGAAAGAUGAUCAGGUUGAUAGGUUCGAGGUGGAAGCAUGGUGACAUGUGGAGCUGACGAAUACUAAUAGAUCGAGGACUUAACC